GCCGGGUGCGGUGGCUCACGCCUGUAAUCCCAGCACUUUGGGAGGCCGAGGCGGGUGGAUCACCUGAGGUCAGGAGUUCAAGACCAGCCUGGCCAACAUGGUGAAACCCCGUCUCUA
rnacentral:SRP_RNA from 1 species